rnacentral:rRNA from 1 species
AUACGGAGGGGGCAAGCGUUGUUCGGAAUUACUGGGCGUAAAGGGCGCGUAGGCGGACGAUCAAGUCAGAGGUGAAAGCCCUGGGCUCAACCUGGGAACUGCCUUUGAAACUGAUAGUCUAGAGUCCGAGAGAGGAUGGCGGAAUUCCCAGUGUAGAGGUGAAAUUCGUAGAUAUUGGGAAGAACACCAGUGGCGAAGGCGGCCAUCUGGCUCGGUACUGACGCUGAGGCGCGAAAGUGUGGGGAGCAAACAGGAUUAGAAGCCCCGGUAGUCC